AACGAACGCUGGCGGCAGGCUUAACACAUGCAAGUCGAGCGCCCCGCAAGGGGAGCGGCAGACGGGUGAGUAACGCGUGGGAAUCUACCCAUCUCUACGGAAUAACGCAUGGAAACGUGUGCUAAUACCGUAUACGUCCUUCGGGAGAAAGAUUUAUCGGAGAUGGAUGAGCCCGCGUUGGAUUAGCUAGUUGGUGGGGUAAAGGCCUACCAAGGCGACGAUCCAUAUCUGGUCUGAGAGGAUGAUCAGCCACACUGGGACUGAGACACGGCCCAGACUACUACGGGAGGCAGCAGUGGGGAAUAUUGGACAAUGGGCGCAAGCUUGAUCCAGCCAUGCCGCGUGAGUGAUGAAGGCCCUAGGGUUGUAAAGCUCUUUCACCGGUGAAGAUAAUGACGGUAACCGGAGAAGAAGCCCCGGCUAACUGCGUGCCAGCAGCCGCCGUAAUAC
rnacentral:rRNA from 1 species